GAACCGGGGGAACUGAAACAUCUAAGUACCCCGAGGAAAAGAAAUCAACCGAGAUUCCCCCAGUAGCGGCGAGCGAACGGGGAGGAGCCCAGAGCCUGAAUCAGUGUGUGUGUUAGUGGAAGCGUCUGGAAAGGCGCGCGAUACAGGGUGACAGCCCCGUACACAAAAAUACACAUAUUGUGAGCUCGAUGAGUAGGGCGGGACACGUGGUAUCCUGUCUGAAUAUGGGGGGACCAUCCUCCAAGGCUAAAUACUCCUGACUGACCGAUAGUGAACCAGUACCGUGAGGGAAAGGCGAAAAGAACCCCGGCGAGGGGAGUGAAAAAGAACCUGAAACCGUGUACGUACAAGCAGUGGGAGCACGCUUAGGCGUGUGACUGCGUACCUUUUGUAUAAUGGGUCAGCGACUUAUAUUCUGUAGCAAGGUUAACCGAAUAGGGGAGCCGAAGGGAAACCGAGUCUUAACUGGGCGUUAAGUUGCAGGGUAUAGACCCGAAACCCGGUGAUCUAGCCAUGGGCAGGUUGAAGGUUGGGUAACACUAACUGGAGGACCGAACCGACUAAUGUUGAAAAAUUAGCGGAUGACUUGUGGCUGGGGGUGAAAGGCCAAUCAAACCGGGAGAUAGCUGGUUCUCCCCGAAAGCUAUUUAGGUAGCGCCUCGUGAAUUCAUCUCCGGGGGUAGAGCACUGUUUCGGCA
rnacentral:rRNA from 1 species